rnacentral:rRNA from 1 species
AUGGGCGCCGGUGGCAAGGGAUAUAAGGCCCCGACCCUGCAGCUGGAGAAGCUGCUGGCGCUCGGCCUCGACCAGCGCACGGCGGAGAACGCGCUUGUCAACAGCAAGGUCACCGCCAACCUAGCCGCCAUCAUAGCCGAGGUUGGUAUCACUUGUUGUGACAAGUUAGUAGGGAAUCUCCUGUAUGCCGUUGCCACUAAAUACCCAAACAAUGCACUUGUCCAUCGUCCUGCUCUCAUCGACUAUAUUGUGUCCAUGAAGAUAAAGAACCCUGCACAGCUAGACGCUGCUCUGUCAUUUCUUACUAAUGUUGGUCCUGAUCCUUUGGAUACUGGGAAGUUUGAAGAAGCCUGUGGUGUAGGCGUGGUUGUUUCAAUUGAAGAGAUUCAUUCAACUGUCACCAAGGUUCUACAUGAAAAUAUGGAAGCUAUAUUGGAGCAGCGUUAUCAUAUAAAUGUUGGUAACCUAUGCGGACAGGUUAGGAAGAGACACCCCUGGGGUGAUGCUAAGGCGACAAAGGAGGAGAUCGAGAAAAGGCUUGCAGAGAUAUUGGGUCCAAAGACGGAAGCUGACAAUGUAAAACCAGUAAAAACAAAGAAAGGAAAACCAGCAAAACCUGAGGAGAAAAAGGUUGCAGUAGCUACUGUUGCCCCACCAUCUGAGGACCUGAAUCCAUACUCGCAUUUUCCUGAGCAGGCAGAAAACAACAAGGUUCAUACAGAAAUAUUCUUCAGCAAUGGGAACAUAUGGAGGGCACAUAACACAAAGGAGAUUUUAGAGAAACAUCUUAUGGCAACUGGUGGAAAAGUGUCGACUCGUUUCCCUCCAGAACCUAAUGGAUAUCUUCAUAUCGGUCAUGCCAAGGCUAUGUUUAUUGAUUUUGGACUGGCUGAAGAGCGGAAUGGCUAUUGUUACCUUCGGUUUGAUGACACAAACCCUGAAGCUGGAAAGAUGGAAUAUAUAGACCAUAUCCAGGAGAUAGUUCAUUGGCUGGGAUGGGAGCCCUAUAAAGUUACAUAUACAGGUGAUUAUUUUCAAGCUUUGUAUGAGCACGCAGUUGAGUUAAUACGGAAAGGGCUGGCCUAUGUAGAUCACCAGACUGCAGAACAGAUCAAGGAAGGCAGGGAAAAUAACUUGGAUAGUCCAUGGAGGGAUAGACCUAUUGAGGAGUCACUAAAGUUAUUUGAAGACAUGCGGCGUGGGUUAAUUGCUGAGGGCGCAGCAACUCUGCGAAUGAAGCAGGACAUGCAGAAUGAUACCAGAAACAUGUACGACUUGAUUGCAUACAGAAUAAAAUUCACCCCCCAUCCACAUGCUGGUGACAAAUGGUGUAUAUAUCCAAGCUACGAUUAUGCCCAUUGCAUGGUGGAUUCACUUGAAAACAUUACUCAUUCGAUCUCCGGCGGAGGUGAUGGGGUCGGCCUCGCGACUGGCGGCCAACGUGCGCCGGACGGCAGCGCGCCCGGCGGAUUCGCGUCCGGAGGCCUUGCGGCGCCGCCAUAUGUUUGGGAGUAUUCAAGGCUGAACAUAUCACAUAAUGUUAUGUCUAAAAGAGAGUUGAAUCGGCUUGUGACAGAGAAGUGGGUAGAUGGGUGGGAUGAUCCUCGUUUGUUAACACUGGCAGGACUGCGGCGACGGGGAGUGUCAGCAGCUGCAAUUAAUUCAUUUAUCCGUGGAAUGGGGAUAACAAGAAGUGACAAUAGCUUAAUUCCUUUCGAACGUCUUGAAUAUCACAUCAGAGAAGAACUUAACAAAACAGCUUCUCGAGCCAUGGUUGUUCUGCAUCCUCUAAAGGUUGUAAUAACAAACUUGGAAGAUGGAGAAGUCAUAGACCUUGAUGGAAAGAAGUGGCCUGAUGCUCCAGCUGAUGAAGCUUCGUCCUACUACAAGGUUCCGUUCUCAAGAAUUGUCUACAUUGAAAAAACUGAUUUUCGCCUCGAGGACUCGAAAGACUAUUAUGGGCUAGCUCCUGGUAAAUCCGCCCUGCUAAGGUAUGCGUUCCCGAUAAAAUGCACAGAGGUUAUUCAUGGCGAUAAUCCAGAUGAGAUUGUUGAGAUUCGAGCUGAGUAUGACCCCUCAAAGACCUCUAAACCUAAGGGUGUUGUGCACUGGGUUGCCGAGCCAUUAAAGGUGGAAAUAAGACUGUUUGAGAAGCUGUUCUUAUCAGAGAUACACAAAAUGGAAGAUUUAUUCAAUUUCCGUAGCACAUGGUUAACCACAUGCUUGGAACGUUCACCAUUUUUGCGGCAUGUUCACCUUUGUGUUCUUGUAUUUUCGAAAUUUAAAUCCCUAAGAAAAUGA